AGCGAACGCUGGCGGCAUGCUUAACACAUGCAAGUUGCACGGUCGGGGUAACCCGGCAGUGGCGGACGGGUGAGUAACGCGUAGGUAUCUAUCCAUGGGUGGGGGAUAACGGUUGGAAACGACUGCUAAUACCGCAUGACACCUGAGGGUCAAAGGCGCAAGUCGCCUGUGGAGGAGCCUGCGUUCGAUUAGCUAGUUGGUGGGGUAAAGGCCUACCAAGGCGACGAUCGAUAGCUGGUCUGAGAGGAUGAUCAGCCACACUGGGACUGAGACACGGCCCAGACUCCUACGGGAGGCAGCAGUGGGGAAUAUUGGACAAUGGGCGCAAGCCUGAUCCAGCAAUGCCGCGUGUGUGAAGAAGGUCUUCGGAUUGUAAAGCACUUUAAGCGGGGAGGAAGGCCUUGAGGAUAAUACCCUUGAGGAUUGACGUUACCCGCAGAAUAAGCACCGGCUAACUCUGUGCCAGCAGCCGCGGUAAU
rnacentral:rRNA from 1 species